GUCCUUGACUGCAUGGUUUCUGCUGGUCCAAGCAAACUUCUCCUGCCACGCCUAACCUUGGAGAGCAGUGAUCAAUGGAGGAAGUGUUUCAUGGUGGACAUGGGAAACUGGCCAGAUCAACUGCUGUCACCUUCUAAAGAGAGGGUUUUGCCAUGUUGCCAGGCUGGUCUCGAACUCCUGGACUCAAGUGAUCUGCCUGCCUCAGCCUCCCAAAGUGCUGGAAUUAUAGGACCCAGACGGGGAGGAGGAAUGCCAGAGAAGCUGCAGACUCUCCGGCCACGGAGCCUGAGUGGAGCAGAGGUGGCCCACUGUCAGCCACAGGUCAAGUGUCAGGGUGGGGACGGGGCAGGCUCCACCAGAAGGCGGGGGCAGGCUCCACCAGAAGGCGGGGCCAGACCACAGGGCAAGGUGGAGAUGAGUCUGUGGCACCCCCAGGAAGUUUACCAGAUUUGCCCCAGAGCUUCUGACCCUUUGGAUCUCUCUGGGCUGCAUUCUUCAGGGUCCCAUUGCUUCUUUCUUGAAGGUGGAAGGAAAUGUUCCCAUCAGAGCCUUCCAACAGG
rnacentral:lncRNA from 1 species